CAGGGCUUAAAUGGGAAAUGACAGGGGCAGAGACGCCCCCUUCUUCGGACAUUUUUCAAGGUGCUGCAUGGUUGUCGUCAGCUCGUGCCGUGAGGUGUCAGGUUAAGUCCUAUAACGAGCGCAACCCCUACCGUUAGUUGCCAGCGAGUCAUGUCGGGGACUCUAACGGGACUGCCGGUGCAAACCGUGAGGAAGGUGGGGACGACGUCAAAUCAUCACGGCCCUUACGUCCUGGGCCACACACGUGCUACAAUGGUAGGUACAGAGGGAAGCCACCCCGCGAGGGGGAGCGGAUCUACAAAACCUAUCUCAGUUCGGAUCGGAGUCUGCAACUCGACUCCGUGAAGCUGGAAUCGCUAGUAAUGCGGAUAUCAGCCAUGAUCCGGUGAAUACGUUCCC
rnacentral:rRNA from 1 species